rnacentral:rRNA from 1 species
UAGCUAGUUGGUGAGGUAACGGCCCACCAAGGCAACGAUCGGUAGCCGGACUGAGAGGUUGAACGGCCACAUUGGGACUGAGACACGGCCCAGACUCCUACGGGAGGCAGCAGUGGGGAAUAUUGCACAAUGGGGGAAACCCUGAUGCAGCGACGCCGCGUGGAGGAAGAAGGUCUUCGGAUUGUAAACUCCUGUUGUUGGGGAAGAUAAUGACGGUACCCAACAAGGAAGUGACGGCUAACUACGUGCCAGCAGCCGCGGUAAAACGUAGGUCACAAGCGUUGUCCGGAAUUACUGGGUGUAAAGGGAGCGCAGGCGGGAAGACAAGUUGGAAGUGAAAUCUAUGGGCUCAACCCAUAAACUGCUUUCAAAACUGUUUUUCUUGAGUAGUGCAGAGGUAGGCGGAAUUCCCGGUGUAGCGGUGGAAUGCGUAGAUAUCGGGAGGAACACCAGUGGCGAAGGCGGCCUACUGGGCACCAACUGACGCUGAGGCUCGAAAGUGUGGGUAGCAAACAGGAUUAGAUACCCUGGUAGUCCACACCGUAAACGAUGAUUACUAGGUGUUGGAGGAUUGACCCCUUCAGUGCCGCAGUUAACACAAUAAGUAAUCCACCUGGGGAGUACGACCGCAAGGUUGAAACUCAAAGGAAUUGACGGGGGCCCGUACAAGCAGUGGAGUAUGUGGUUUAAUUCGACGCAACGCGAAGAACCUUACCAAGUCUUGACAUCCCUUGACAGGCAUAGAAAUAUGUUUUCUCUUCGGAGCAAGGAGACAGGUGGUGCAUGGUUGUCGUCAGCUCGUGUCGUGAGAUGUUGGGUUAAGUCCCGCAACGAGCGCAACCCUUAUGGUCAGUUACUACGCAAGAGGACUCUGGCCAGACUGCCGUUGACAAAACGGAGGAAGGUGGGGAUGACGUCAAAUCAUCAUGCCCUUUAUGACUUGGGCUACACACGUACUACAAUGGCGUUAAACAAAGAGAAGCGAGACCGCGAGGUGGAGCAAAACUCAGAAACAACGUCCCAGUUCGGACUGCAGGCUGCAACUCGCCUGCACGAAGUCGGAAUUGCUAGUAAUCGUGGAUCAGCAUGCCACGGUGAAUACGUUCCCGGGCCUUGUACACACCACCCGUCACACCAUGAGAGCCGGGGGGACCCGAAGUCGGUAGUCUAACCGCAAGGAGGACGCCGCCGAAGGUAAAACUGGUGAUUGGGGUGAAGUCGUAACAAGGUAA